GGCGCACACACCGGCUUGUUUGACGGCGGCUAUAAAAAGACAGCUAGGACGCCACGGUAGUAGGUUCUUGGCAUAGUCAUCCGCAUCUGGUUGCGUCGUGCACCCCUGGCUCGGCACCGUUUCAGGGUCCAGGUGACUCAUUGCCACACGAGUGGAACGCCCUGCAGAGAUAGAAGACGGGUGUAUCACAGGAGGGCUUAGGGUUAUUCCUGCCUCCUGUCUCUUGCUGAAAAGGUGCCAACAUCCUCGCAUUGUCGUUUUGUUCUGGGUCUUUUAUUAUUAGUUCUUUUAAAGUUAUUUUUAUGGAUUAAUUGUUGUUUCUAUUAUUUGCCGUCCUUUUACUAAUACAUAUCCGUUGUUGUGUUCCCCUCAGGAUACUGAUUUUAGCUGCUACCAGCGGUUGGCGUGGAGGCCCCGCAGUGGCGCCAACAGACAGGAUUGGGAGUGGUGUGAGGUGGCCCAGCACUGCUUCGUUUGUAUUGGUUUUUACCUUCUUUUUGAUUAUACAUAGGUUGCUGUGGUUUUUCUUAAGCUUAAUUUAUUUGGUUUUAACUGCAUGUUGUGUGUUAACGAAACAGCUUGGGCCCGCGCAGUAGUCCCCCUCCACUGUGAUAGCCCUACCUGACUGUUGCUGCAGCCAGUAGAGUGGUGCCUCCUCCCCUGCUGCUGUAGGUCAGGGUUGUACCUUGCUUGUAUGUGUUUCUUUGUAUUGUAAUAAACUUUGUGAUCCUGAGGGGACCAGUUGCCUCAGCCCAUCCUUCUUUACUCAAACAGGAUUCCACAUCAGUGACUUAAGUGCUCUCGCUACAGAGGGUAGUUGGCCUAAGAGGGAGAGAGAGCCAUUGUUCUCCCGGUCUGGUUGGACCCCCUUUAAAUAGCAUUAGCAGAAGAGCUGCAGAGCACGCUCGGUCACA